GGCUGCUUAAGUGGUUAUAGCGUCUGCCUCAUUUGCGGGAGGUCAAGGGUUCGAAUCCCGGCCGAGUCA